AUACCUUUCUCGGCCUUUUGGUUAAGAUCAAGUGUAGUAUCUGUUUUAUCGGUUAAAGGUAACCAUUUUCUUUACCUUUUGGGAUACCAUGACUAUUUUAGCUUCUUUUAUCCAAGAGGCAGCAUUUGCGUUUAGCUCACAGAUUGAGUGCUCAUUUUCGAAAUGUAUG
rfam:Nicotiana attenuata strain TT chromosome 10, whole genome shotgun sequence.